rnacentral:rRNA from 1 species
AUCCGGGGUGAGGACAGUGUCUGGUGGGUAGUUUGACUGGGGCGGUCUCCUCCCAAAGAGUAACGGAGGAGCACGAAGGUUAGCUAAUCACGGUCGGACAUCGUGAGGUUAGUGCAAAGGCAUAAGCUAGCUUGACUGCGAGAGUGACGGCUCGAGCAGGUACGAAAGUAGGUCUUAGUGAUCCGGUGGUUCUGAAUGGAAGGGCCAUCGCUCAACGGAUAAAAGGUACUCCGGGGAUAACAGGCUGAUACCGCCCAAGAGUUCAUAUCGACGGCGGUGUUUGGCACCUCGAUGUCGGCUCAUCACAUCCUGGGGCUGAAGUAGGUCCCAAGGGUAUGGCUGUUCGCCAUUUAAAGUGGUACGCGAGCUGGGUUUAGAACGUCGUGAGACAGUUCGGUCCCUAUCUGCCGUGGGCGUUGGAAGAUUGAGAGGGGCUGCUCCUAGUACGAGAGGACCGGAGUGGACGAAUCACUGGUGUUCGGGUUGUCAUGCCAAUGGCAUUGCCCGGUAGCUAAAUUCGGAAGAGAUAACCGCUGAAAGCAUCUAAGCGGGAAACUUGCCUCGAGAUGAGUCUUCCCUGGGGCUUUAAGCCCCCUGAAGGAACGUUAAAGACUAUGACGUUGAUAGGCUGGGUGUGUAAGUGCAGCGAUGUAUUGAGCUAACCAGUACUAAUGAUCCGUGAGGCUUAACCUU